rnacentral:rRNA from 1 species
UGGGGAAUAUUGCGCAAUGGGGGGAACCCUGACGCAGCCAUGCCGCGUGAAUGAAGAAGGCCUUAGGGUUGUAAAGUUCUUUCGGUAUUGAGGAAGGUUGAUGUGAUAAUAGCACAUCAAAUUGACGUUAAAUACAGAAGAAGCACCGGCUAACUCCGUGCCAGCAGCCGCGGUAAUACGGAGGGUGCGAGCGUUAAUCGGAAUAACUGGGCGUAAAGGGCACGCAGGCGGUUAUUUAAGUGAGGUGUGAAAGCCCUGGGCUUAACCUGGGAAUUGCAUUUCAGACUGGGUAACUAGAGUACUUUAGGGAGGGGUAGAAUUCCACGUGUAGCGGUGAAAUGCGUAGAGAUGUGGAGGAAUACCGAAGGCGAAGGCAGCCCCUUGGGAAUGUACUGACGCUCAUGUGCGAAAGCGUGGGGAGCAAACAGGAUUAGAUACCCUGGUAGUCCACGCUGUAAACGCUGUCGAUUUGGGGGUUGGGGUUUAACUCUGGCGCCCGUAGCUNACGUGAUAAAUCGACCGCCUGGGGAGUACGGCCGCAAGGU